CUUGCAAACUGGAGAUGGCGACCGGCGCACGGGUGAGUAACACGUAUCCAACCUGCCCAUCACUUGGGGAUAACCUUGCGAAAGUAAGACUAAUACCCAAUGAUAUCCCACGAAGGCAUCGGAAUGGGAUUAAAGAUUUAUCGGUGAUGGAUGGGGAUGCGUCUGAUUAGCUUGUUGGCGGGGUAACGGCCCACCAAGGCGAUGAUCAGUAGCCGGUCUGAGAGGAUGAACGGCCACACUGGAACUGAGACACGGUCCAGACUCC
rnacentral:rRNA from 1 species